CGCUGGCGGCGUGCCUAAUACAUGCAGGUCGAACGGCUUUUCUAUGGAAGCUUGCUUCCACUGAGAAGAUAGUGGCGAACGGGUGAGUAACACGUGGGUAACCUGCCCAUAAGAGGGGGGAUAACAUCCGGAAACGGGUGCUAAUACCGCAUAGUUUUCUUGAUCGCAUGAUUGAGAAAGGAAAGACGGCCUUUGUGCUGUCGCUUAUGGAUGGACCCGCGGCGUAUUAGUUAGUUGGUGAGGUAACGGCUCACCAAGACGAUGAUACGUAGCCGACCUGAGAGGGUGAUCGGCCACAUUGGGACUGAGACACGGCCCAAACUCCUACGGGAGGCAGCAGUAGGGAAUCUUCCGCAAUGGACGAAAGUCUGACGGAGCAACGCCGCGUGAGUGAAGAAAAGGUUUUCGGAUCGUAAAACUCUGUUGUCAGAGAAGAACAAGUUGGAGAGUAACUGCUCCAGCCUUGACGGUAUCUGACCAGAAAGCCACGGCUAACUACGUGCCAGCCGCUGC
rnacentral:rRNA from 1 species